GGUGCCGGCGGGAGACCCCGCCAUCGCCGUGCUGGUGGAGAGCGGGCCGGUCGUCUACGAUGAGGCUGCCGAUGAGGAAGAGGAGGAGGAAGAGGACCCCUGCAUGAGCGCCAUGGAGAUGAUGGGCAGCAACGAUUACGGCUGCGACGGAGAGUACGAGGAUUGAUUCCAGCUUCGACCUCCUCGGCUCAUCGUCUGUUAUGGGCUCGCUCCAUUUCGGAUCCCCGACUGUAUCAUGAGUUCACGACAAAGGGAAACAAAAUGGCUGCAGCCACAGAUGAGAACUGUGAAGCCAAGAGGAAGAAUUAAAACCCUCCCGCUCGUCCUCGUCCAGUUCGUCCUCGUCUGGACGGACACAGAGACACAGAGACACAGAGGAGCUGAAGAGGAAACGAGAGACACUGUGAAGGAAGGAAGCUCGACUGGGACAAACAUUCACACAGUCAGGUUACGUGAAGCUGUUUUAAUAACGUAUACAUGACUGUGUUUUAAUACUUCGUGGUGAAAACCAGUCAUUUAAAUGCUGCUAAAGCAACGAUUAUGAAAGAGAGACAUGCAGAAGAAGAUGUCAUCUGCAGCUUCCUCUCCUGGUUUUAACCUCUUCAUCGUUUAGUCACCGGAGACACGAGUGGGACAAACCAUCUUCAUCCUUCAUCCGGCACUUCAUCACUCGAGUACUUAACAGACGGGGACGUCAACAACUUCAUGUCGUCCUCAAACCCUGUUCCUACACUUCAGCUUCUCCACGUUCUCCAAACAAGCUUCUGCCAAUCAGGUGGCGUGAGAUCAAUCAUCGCUACACCGGGAUUGGCCGAUUGUAUUAUUCAGGUGGAUUAAAGCCUUCUGUGAUUGGUGGACGGACGCGAGCCGCCUGCGUCUCCGAAGCCAAAGUCUCACAGCGACGACGUCUUCGAACAAGAAAUCCCAGGUUCACCAAACCAAUGUGUGUUAGUGGGAUUUUAGUGAAUUUUUUUAUUUAGCUGGUAAUUCAGUUUGGGGCUUUUCCGGGUUAUUUUGAGACAGAACGGAUUUCAUUUAACGAGGUUGUAUCUUUUCCUUGGAGUUGAUCACUGAGGCGUUCAGGAUCUAUUUUCUAUUUAAGGUUUUAUGAUUUUUUGUGUUGGAGUAAUGACACUUGAGAGGUGAAAGUGAAUGUGGCCUUUUCACUGUGUCCACACACAAACACACACACACACACAACAGUGUUUAACGAGGUGUCCCUGAACGCCUCUGCUGCUGCUGCUGAUGUUACAACCUGCAUACUGUUGUGUGAGUUUGCUGCUAAAGUAAAGAUUUCACUACAUGAGAUAAAGAAA